rnacentral:rRNA from 1 species
CCUACGAGUGGCAGCAGUGAGGAAUAUUGGUCAAUGUGCGCGAGCCUGAACCAGCCAAGUAGCGUGAAGGAUGACUGCCCUACGGGUUGUAAACUUCUUUUAUCAAGGAAUAAAGUGAGGCACGUGUGCCUUUUUGUAUGUACUUUAUUAAUAAGGAUCGUCUAACUCCGUUCCAGCAGCCGCGGUAAUCCGGAGGAUCCGAGCGUUAUCCGGAUUUAUUGGGUUUAAAGGGAGCGUAGAUGGGUUGUUAAGUCAGUUGUGAAAGUUUGCGGCUCAACCGUAAAAUUGCAAUUGAUACUGGCAGUCUUGAGUACAGUUGAGGUAGGCGGAAUUCGUGGUGUAGCGGUGAAAUGCUUAGAUAUCACGAAGAACUCCGAUUGCGAAGGCAGCUUACUAAACUGCCACUGACAUUGAUGCUCGAAAGUGUGGGUAUCAAACAGGAUUAGAUACCCGAGUAGUC